rnacentral:lncRNA from 10 species
CUGCACUCCAGCCUGGGUGACAGAGCGAGACUGUGUCUCAAAAAAAAAAAGAAACUUGUCUCAAAAGUGCUAUGAUAUUCUUCCUGAAAUGGACAUUGUAGCAUCUCAAUAUCUUUUUUAAAAAACUAAAUUUUUGAAAAAUUGUGUUUUGAGACAAGGUCUCCCUCUGAUGUCCAGGCUAGAGUGCAGUGGCGCAAACACAGCUCACUGCAUCCUGGAACUCCCGGGAUCAAGGGAUCUCCCACCUCAGCCUCCUUAGUAGCUGGGACUACAGACACCCACCACCGCGCCUGGCUGAUUUUUAAAACUUUGUAUAGAUGGGGUCUCACUAUGUUGCCCAGGUUGGUCUUGAACUCUUGUGCUCCAGGGAUCCUCCUGCCUUGGUCUCCCAAAGUGUUGGAAUUACAGGCCUGAGCCACCACACCGAACAUAGCCUAUUAAUGUCAGCCUAUUUCUCUAUUUAUGAAUUUUCUGAAGUGUUAUUUUUAUAUUCAGAUUUAUAGAAGCUUUUGUCUUUUAUGACCUUGACACUUUUAAAGGGUACUCUCAGCUAUUUUGUAGAAUGUCCCUCACACUGGGGACUCUGACCUUAUGACUGGACAAGGUUUUGUUUUUUGUUUUUUUUUUUUUUUUUGAGACGGAGUCUUUCUCUGUCUUCUAAGCUGGAGUGCGGUGGUGUGAUCUCAGCUCACUGCAAUCUCUGCCUCCCAGGUUCAAGCGAUUCUCCUUCCUCAGCCUCCUGAGUAGCUGGGAUUUUAGGCACCCGCCACCACACCCGGCUAAUUAUUGUAUUUUUAUUAGAGACAAGGUUUCACCAUGCUGGCCAGGCUGGUCUUGAACUCCUGACCUCAUGAUCCAUCCGCCUUGGCCUCCCAAAAGUGCUGGGAUUACAGGCCUGAGCCACCACGCCCUGCUGGUUUAUUUUAUUUUUUGGCAUGAAUACCACAGCUGGGAUGUCAUCUUCUCAAUGCAUAGUGGAGAUAUGCAAUGUCAGUCUGUCCAACUCCUGGUCCUGUUAGUUCAGGUGGUGGCAGCGGCUGCCGGGGCUUCUCCCCUACAUAGUUACUGUUUUCCCUUUGUCAUCCAUAAAUACCUUGGGGAGAUACUUCCAGACUAAGUGAAUGUCUGUUUCACUUCCAAGUUUUACCCACUUUUUUUUUUUUUUUUGAGAUGGAGUCUCACUUUUGCCGAGGCUGUAGUGCAAUGGCGCCAUCUCAGCUCACUGCAACCUCCGCCUCCCAGGUUCAAGCAAUUCCCCCGUCUCAGCCUCCCAAGUAGCUGGGAUUACAGGCACGCGCCACCAUGCCCAGGUAAUUUUUUUUAUUUUUAGUAGAGACGGGGUUUCACCGUGUUGCCCAGGCUGGUCUCCAACUCCUGAGCUCAGGCAGUCCACCUGCCUCAGCCUCCCAAGGUGCUAGGAUUACAGGCGUGAGCCACCGUGCCCGGCCUACCCACUAAUUAAUUUCAGCAUCCACUGGUGGGUCUUGCAAUGCAGUAAUUAUUAACUUAGUUUUCAAAGGUGAUUUUUGCAUUUUCCUCAUUCCUUUGACGUUUAUUAAUUGGAAUUCAUCUCUAAGAAAGAGCAGUCCCUUCAGCUUUUUUCCCUUUUUUUUUUUUGAGACAGGGUCUUGCUCUGCGGCUCAGGCUGCAGUGCAGUGGCUCGAUCACGGCUCACUGCAGCCUCGACCUCCCGGGCUCACGUGAUCUCCCAUCUCAGCCUCCUGAGUAACCAGAACCACAGGUGCUCACCACCAUGCCCAGCUGACUUUUUGUAUUUUUUGUAGAGAUGGGGUUUACCCAUGUUGCUCAGGCUGGUCUCAAAUUUUCGAGCUCAAGUGAUCCGCCCGCCUUGGCCUCCCAAAAGGCAUGAGCCACUGCGCCUGACCUACGAUUUCUUUCUUUAUAUAUCAGUAUGAACGCAAGGGCUGUUUGUUGGAUUCUGUGAGUCAUAAUCUGAUACUGUUUCCACGCUUUGGCCAUUGGGAGCUCCUGGAGAUUGUCUCCUGUGCCCUAUCCUUAUUUAAGCACUUGUUUAUUUUGGGAUGUCUUCAGUUUUCCUUGUCCCAGCUCUGCACCCAGCUGCUUCUCCAGGGAGCCCUCCCUCACUGGAGACUGGGAUUUAGCAACCAAGACCUGGGCACUGGCUGUGCUUGUUGCUUCUGGGCCCUCCUGGGACAGAGCUGGGAAGUGGAUCUAUGACACGUGCUUGUGCAUUUACCCGCCCUGUUGGUUUCUGUAGCUGUCUAGUUCCUGCUGUUCCUGUCUCACCUGCCCCUUUCCUUAUGUGUAGUUUCUUCCUGUGACAGGGAGAAACCUGGCUCUCAGAUUGACAGGACAUUCGCUUAGGCCAUGUCAGUGCUGUAGGUGAACUGUUCAACCUGUGCCCCAGGGAGGCGCAGUCACUAUGGAGGCACCUUACUUCCUUAAUCGUGUACUGUUGUUUUUGUGUUUGACCUGUAGCAUCUAAGUACUGGUUUCAAAAGUUGCCUAGAUGAGUUCUUUUCUUUCUUUCCACCUCCUGCAAAUUAUGUGAUUUGCAUAAUUUGUACAUAGUUAGGUUCAUUUGUUAGUUUGUAUUCCUUUUGGCUUCCCCCAUAUCCUCGUUGACUUUUUCUUUCUUUUGUAACUUACAUAUGUUAUGAAAUUUAUAUGAGGAUAUAUAAUUUUCAUAAAUGUUUAUGGUUUACAUGUAUUAGUUGUUAUUAUUAAGAUCACCCUGGGAUUGACUGGCCAAGCAUUUGGUGGAAGAUAGCAAUAAAUAAUACAUCAUAAAAGACUUUAAUGUAAAAAUAAAGCCAUGAAAGUACCAAGAAAUAAAUCUUCUCAUUUUAAUUACAUCAGCUUGUCUGUGAUCAUGUAGCCUAAGGUAGGCCAGAGUUAAUUUUUGUGUUAUCUAUACACGUUAUUGAAGCGAAUUAUAAAAUGUUUUAGCAUGUUAAUUACUUGUAAAUUAAUAUCUACAUAUAAAAAUGUGAGCAUAUAUUCUAUUUAGUAUAUUAAUCCUUCAUAAACAAGUAAUGCAAGUUAGUAUUAAUGAUAUCUUAAGACUUAACAUUCCUUUUUUAGUUUGUGUUGAAUAAAUGAACAUCUAAGAGUUCAUGAUGAUGCUUAAGGAAAGAAGCCUCAUGUUUACCUUUGGAAGUUGUAAGGCACUGACUCAUAAAAAUUGGCAAAUAAAAGGAAAGAAUCGGGCAUUUAAUU